AAUGUAUAGUACUGUACCACUAGGCCGAAUCUAUAGUACUGUAGUUCCAGGCCAAAUCUAAAGUACUGUACCAAUAGGCCAAAUUGUCACUUCUACAAUCUUAAGAAAUGAUUGGAUUUGCUUUAAUACUUAAAAUAUACAUAUAUAUACUGUUGACUUUUCAAUAAGCUAACAUGUUUGGUUAAUUCCUGGAAAUGUAGAUUUACACAAAACAUAUUCCAAAGGAAACAUAUACAGUUCACGCCAGCAUAGGUUUACACCAAUGAUGUCGCUGAGCACUAUUUUCUGUAUGGUAUGUUUACAUAUUUAAGUAUUAAACACUUUUGGGACAAACUACACAAUCAGUAAAAGUCAGGACAAACUGUACAUCACCACGUGUACUGUACACAAAACAUCUCUCCAAUAAGACAUCUCCUGUAUUGAAGCAUUGAAAAGCAAAAAUAAAUAUACAUGAUUCAUAGAAGCUUUUCAGGAAAAUAUUCUUGAGCUAUUUUCCAGCACUUUUUCUUUUCUUCAAACACUUUCCAGAUCCAGGUUUUCAUAUUUUUUUAUGAAGAUUUACUAUUCAUAAUGUAUAGGAUAUUGUUAUAUAGCACAAAACUAAAAUGAAUCACAUCGGAUCAAAAAGAAUUUAUCAAUCAAUUUUUAAUUGUAAAUCAAUAUUAACAAAAAAACUUUGAAAGUCAUAAUUUGUUAUAUAUUAUACUGUCAGUAUUUUUAAGGAAUUAACAAUCAAGCACUUGUCCAGGAUUCCUCUAUUUACCUGUACUUUUCAGGCACUGACUUCAAUAUUACAGCAACUUUAAUACCCUGUGAGAACCAUGUUAUUGUACAGAAACUUGGGGACUAGAAAACAAACACAGAGAUAUAUUAUUUCACCAAACUCUGAGAACAGAGUGAGGAUCUUGAAUGGUAGCCUUGAGAUAUAGUUUGGACUGAUCUGUUCUGGCCCUGUCACGUUUAGAACUGUCCAGCUUCUCGGGCAUGUUGCCCCCAAACAUCCCCCCUCCCCCCUAAGGCGUCACUAGGGAUCCGAAUCAGUUUUAAUUUACCCCUGUUAUCAGUUGGGCCAGACUACAGUCAUGGGAUAGCAGUGUCUAGUAAACACAGGCUUAAUCUAGUUCUGGGUCAGCAACAGUUAACAGACAAAUGUAAACAAUUGCAAUCCAUUAAGAUUUUGGUAUGAAAACAAAGUUGGUUGGAAAUAUUUACACUACAGGAGCAUCCUUGAGGUAUAUAAGAUGUACAAAUAUGUGUUUCUUACAUGAGAUGGACUACACAGAUACCUAUAGAGCUUACAUUGGGAAGACAGAUAUCAACACAGUGUAAGUUAGACUGGGAAAUGACAUCUAGAUUGUCAUUAUUUUUGUGUUGCAUGUAAAAUGCUCACAAAAACAACUAUUUAUUAUGAAACAUCAUCAAAGUUAUGAAAUUAUUUUUCUAUUCCGAGUUAAAAUGAUAGAAAUUCAAAGAAAACGUACAUGUUAUUUAUACUGAUUAUAAAGCUACACAGCAGACACUACAUGGCAAAUAAUGGCACAUUUCUAAACAUUUGGCAAGACACUAGGGUUGUCUCCCUUGGUAUGUCGAUAAAGACAGCAGACAGAGCUGGUAAAGGCAGAUGCAGCGAGAAAAGGUGUAAGACUUUGCAUAAAAAUAGUCAUGAAAGGUAAAUAUGAUUUUUGAAAUAUGUGUUAUCCAAGGUAACAGGGGGUGUCAUCCUAGGUACAGGAGGUAUCAACAUGUACUGCUUUGCCAUCCUAGGUAACAGGGGGUAUCAACAUGUACUGCUUUGUCAUCCUAGGUACCAGGGGGUAUCAACAUGUACUGCUUUGACAUCCUAGGUAACAGGGGGUAUCAACAUGUGCUGCUGUGUGAUCCUAGGUAACAGGAGGUAUCAACAUGUGCUGCUUUGUCAUCCUAGGUAACAGGGGGUAUAAACAUGUACUGCUUUGUCAUCCUAGGUAACAGGGGGUAUCAACAUGUGCUGCUGUGUCAUCCUAGGUAACAGGGCGUAUCAACAUGUACUGCUUUGUCAUCCUCGGAAACAGGGGGCAUCAACAUGUACUGCUGUGUCAUCCUAGGAAACAGGAGGUAUCAACAUGUACUGCUGUGUCCUCCUAGGUAACAGGGGGUAUCAACAUGUGCUGCUGUGUCAUCCUAGGUAACAGGAGGUAUCAACAUGUGCUGCUUUGUCAUCCUAGGUACCAGGGGGUAUCAACAUGUACUGCUUUGUCAUACUAGGUAACAGGGGGUAUCAACAUGUAUUGCUUUGUCAUCCUAGGUAACAGGGGGAAUCAACAUGUACUGCUUUGUCAUCCUAGGUAACAGGGGGUAUCAACAUGUGCUGCUGUGUCAUCCUAGGUAACAGGGCGUAUCAACAUGUACUGCUUUGUCAUCCUGGGUAACAGGGGGUAUCAACAUGUA